rnacentral:rRNA from 1 species
CACGUAGGGGGCGAGCGUUGUCCGGAUUUAUUGGGCGUAAAGAGCUCGUAGGCGGUUUCGUAAGUCGGGUGUGAAAACUCCAGGCUCAACCUGGAGACGCCACCCGAGACUGCGAUGACUAGAGUCCGGUAGGGGAGUGUGGAAUUCCUGGUGUAGCGGUGAAAUGCGCAGAUAUCAGGAGGAACACCAACGGCGAAGGCAGCACUCUGGGCCGGUACUGACGCUGAGGAGCGAAAGCGUGGGGAGCGAA